rnacentral:lncRNA from 1 species
UCAAAGUAGCUUGGGAAGCCAAGAUGAAGAACGGAAAGAAAGGAAGAAACUUUUGCUCGAGGCUCCUUUGUUGCAUUUGUUAUGCCGUUAUUGAAUCAGAGAGAGGAGAGCUUACACCACCACACUCCCCAAAGAAGCCUUCAGAUGCUGCCCCAAAGAAAGGAGAACAGCCCCCAGCUGACCAGCCGAAAUCCGCUCCCGCAACUACUGAUUCAGAAGCUCCUCCUUGGAAAGCAAUAGUAGUUCGAAUAAUUAUUCCACUCAGGUAAUUGAGGGUUGAAGACUGCCUGAAAAGAAUUAUUAUUAUAAGGAGGUUACAGUGGCUCAGAUUGGCUUAUGAGCCAACUCAAAGGAAAACAAGCUUCCGGAGAUUUCUGUCACUGCAUCUUCAGCUUUUACGCUAAUCUUCUUUCGGACUGUCUUUCAACUUUUUUUUCCCCUUACUUUUGUUGUCCCUUUCUUUUGCUCUUUGCUUUCUGCUGGUGUAGAUAUUUUUAUUUAAUAAAUUGGUGGCUAAUUGAGCUCAUAGCUCCUUAGCUUCCUUUCCAUUAGAGAGAGAGAGAGAGAGAGAGUACGAACAAACACCAAGAGCUCUGAUAUGACGGUCACGUAGGGAUAAGUAUGCUGCUGCUCGAGACUCGACAACAAGUUGUUGU